GACGAACGCUGGCGGCGUGCCUAAUACAUGCAAGUCGAGCGCAGGAAGUCAUCCGAACCCUUCGGGGGGACGUUGACGGAAUGAGCGGCGGACGGGUGAGUAACACGUAAAGAACCUGCCCUCAGGUCUGGGAUAACCACGAGAAAUCGGGGCUAAUACCGGAUGGGUCAUCGGACCGCAUGGUCCGAGGAUGAAAGGCGCUCCGGCGUCGCCUGGGGAUGGCUUUGCGGUGCAUUAGCUAGUUGGUGGGGUAAUGGCCCACCAAGGCGACGAUGCAUAGCCGACCUGAGAGGGUGAUCGGCCACACUGGGACUGAGACACGGCCCAGACUCCUACGGGAGGCAGCAGUAGGGAAUCUUCCACAAUGGACGAAAGUCUGAUGGAGCAACGCCGCGUGAACGAUGAAGGCCCUCGGGUCGUAAAGUUCUGUCGUAAGGGAAGAACAAGUGCCGCAGGCAAUGGCGGCACCUUGACGGUACCUUGCGAGAAAGCCACGGCUAACUACGUG
rnacentral:rRNA from 1 species